rnacentral:rRNA from 1 species
UACGUAGGUCCCGAGCGUUGUCCGGAUUUAUUGGGCGUAAAGCGAGCGCAGGUGGUUUAUUAAGUCUGGUGUAAAAGGCAGUGGCUCAACUAUUGUAUGCAUUGGAAACUGGUAGACUUGAGUGCAGGAGAGGAGAGUGGAAUUCCAUGUGUAGCGGUGAAAUGCGUAGAUAUAUGGAGGAACACCGGUGGUGAAAGCGGCUCUCUGGCCUGUAACUGACACUGAGGCUCGAAAGCGUGGGGAGCAAACAGG